rnacentral:rRNA from 1 species
GACGAACGCUGGCGGCGUGCUUAACACAUGCAAGUCGAACGGUAAGGCCCUUCGGGGUACACGAGUGGCGAACGGGUGAGUAACACGUGGGUGAUCUGCCCUGCACUUCGGGAUAAGCCUGGGAAACUGGGUCUAAUACCGGAUAGGACCACUGCCUGCAUGGGUGGUGGUGGAAAGCUUUUGCGGUGUGGGAUGGGCCCGCGGCCUAUCAGCUUGUUGGUGGGGUGAUGGCCUACCAAGGCGACGACGGGUAGCCGGCCUGAGAGGGUGACCGGCCACACUGGGACUGAGAUACGGCCCAGACUCCUACGGGAGGCAGCCGUGGGGAAUAUUGCACAAUGGGCGCAAGCCUGAUGGAGCAACGCCGCGUGCAGGAUGAAGGCCUUCGGGUUGUAAACUGCUUUUAUAAGUGAAGAAUAUGACGGUAACUUAUGAAUAAGCACCGGCUAACUACGUGCCAGCAGCCGCCGUAA